UACGUAGGGUCCGAGCGUUGUCCGGAAUCAUUGGGCGUAAAGCGCAUGUAGGCGGCCAUGUAAGUCGGAUGUGAAAUCCCGAGGCUCAACUUCGGAACUGCAUCCGAUACUGCGUGGCUUGAGGAAGGUAGAGGAGAGUGGAAUUCCCGGUGUAGCGGUGGAAUGCGCAGAUAUCGGGAGGAACACCAGCGGCGAAGGCGGCUCUCUGGGCCUCUCCUGACGCUGAGAUGCGAAAGCGUGGGUAGCGAACAGGA
rnacentral:rRNA from 1 species